GUUAAAAUAUUAUAAUUUAGACUUGCUAAUUGAAUUACAAUCCAUUAGAUGAUUCGUUUAUUUGUCUAUAUAUUAUAUUAUGAAUAUUAAGAAAAACUAAUUUCGAGAGAUGUUAAUCAAAAAGGAUCAAUGGAAAAAAGAGGAUGAAUACAAACUGACGUACAUGUAUAAUGAAAAGAGCAAGUGUGUGUUGUUGUGUUCCACGUGAAGCAUAAAAUAGAACAAGAAUAGGUAUUUUCUCCGUUUGAUUUACGUGUGUA